rfam:Millerozyma farinosa CBS 7064 chromosome A complete sequence
UACAUCAUAUCGCAAAUUCUUUCCUUCAUCAAAGGCUGGUAAAUUGUUCAAUAAGGUGCUGGUCGAAGGUAGUGUUGAGAGUUUGCUAGAUUAUCCUACCAGGAGCACGUUACUGGGCGCCCGAUAUUGACAUAACCAUGGAAUAUUGGGAAUCAGUUGUGACUACAUUU